rnacentral:rRNA from 1 species
AGUUUGAUCAUGGCUCAGGAUGAACGCUAGCGGCAGGCCUAAUACAUGCAAGUCGAACGCUCAGUAGCAAUACUGGGAGUGGCGCACGGGUGCGUAACGCGUACACAAUCUACCUCUAAGCGGGGGACACCUCCUGGAAACGGGGAUUAAUACCGCAUAAUAUGCCGAAGUCGCAUGACUUUGGUAUUAAAGCAGCAAUGCACUUAGAGAUGAGUGUGCGUCCCAUUAGGUAGUUGGUGAGGUAACGGCUCACCAAGCCUAUGAUGGGUAGCCGGUCUGAGAGGAUGGUCGGCCACACGGGCACUGAGACACGGGCCCGACUCCUACGGGAGGCAGCAGUAAGGAAUAUUGGUCAAUGGUGGAAACACUGAACCAGCCAUGCCGCGUGGAGGAAUAAGGUCCUACGGAUUGUAAACUCCUUUUGACGAGGAAGAAAAUGUUAGAUUUAUCUAAUUUUGACGGUACUCGUAGAAUAAGCACCGGCUAACUCCGUG